rnacentral:tRNA from 1 species
UGGGGAGUCGCCAAGUGGUAAGGCAACGGACUUUGACUCCGUCACUCGUAGGUUCGAUCCCUACCUCCCCAG